rnacentral:snRNA from 1 species
AGCUUUGCGCAGUGGCAGUAUCGUAGCCAAUGAGGUUUAUCCGAGGCACGAUUAUUGCUAAGAAAAGUAGAGGACCUAACAA